CAACAGCUCAGGGUUUGGGCUUGGUGUUGCACUGUAUUAACUGCGGGCAUUCACAGUCAUGAAAUAACUCAGGAAAUAAUGAGAGCUAAAAAAGUCUUGUGGGCUCUCCUGAACUGCAGUUUGGACAUUAGGGAUCUUCAUCUGUCAGCUUUUCCUGGCAGGUAGGAGGGGGUUUAAGGGCUUCUUUUCUUUUCUCUUUCUUUUUUUGAGACAUAAGGAAGCAGAAUUCACUAGGCUUAGGGAGCGGAGGGCAUAAUGAGAGGAUAAGAUCUUGUAAAACUUCUGAUUAAACAAACAAAUGGAAACAGGGAGAAAAGAGAUAACCCUACACUGAAGAACCGCUUUCCUGCUCGAAGAACAUCAGUGACUCAAAAGGUAAUAAAUGCAGGCUGGACUCCAGCACUGUAAACCAUGCUGGUCUCACGUUAGAGCUAGGGGACAAUGUCUGGGUGACCAGACAAGUUUCCCAUGAAGGCAUCAGUCCAAAUCCCGAGGACGAUCCUUAAUCGAGCACCAGGGGCAGAGCAGGGAGGCCAGGCCCACCUGCCUGCACUUUGCCAUCAGCUGCAGGUGGUUGGCGAGGGGCUGGGGGAUAAAUGAGGAGCUGGGGACAAGGUGUCCCCUCCAGCAGUGUGAGGGGCAGUCUGCAGCAGGCUUGUGGGGUAUUGUCUGCUUUGUGCCUGCCUCGGGAAGCAUGCGGAGCUGCUGCUUUGGCCUUGAGGCCCUGCUACGAAGCCUGCGCGUGUGGCUCGGCUGGUGAAGUAAAUUCCCGGCGAUGUCAGAUCGCGUGAUGGUGGAGCCGGUUCGAAGCCCCCGCUCUCAAAGCGACUUCCAGCAGACCAUGACGGGGAUCAAGGUCCAGGGGAACAGGAUCUCCUCCAGAAACCUUGAGCAUCCCCUCCCAGUGUCUAUCGAGCUCUUGCUCCAAGCUGUGUCCUCGUGGGUCUCCUGCGAAGGUCACAAAAUGUUGUGGCUGUGGCAUUGCCUCGCUGUUCCCUGGCUGCUGAGCAGAAGGGCAUGUAGCCUCGUUCUCUCUCUACACCACAGGACGACACAACAUCUGUUUAAAAGAACAAAUAAUAAAUGGGUAGAGGUGGUGUCAACUGCCCUGCAUCUAUUUUCAGGUGCAGUCUGGGUCCAUGGUGUUCUCAGUGUCCACAUUGCCAGGGAGCCCAGCAGGGACACCCAACUCCUGUGAUUUUUGUGCGAUUUGAAAUGUGAAGGUAUAAGAGAGAGGUUCGAUCUCUGGGGUAAAAAGCUCCCAUUAUAACAUUCAGAUUCAUUUUAGAAGCCAUUUUUUAAACCUUAAGAAAAAUACCUAGGAUUAAGCGCUUAAAGCUACAAAAACUGAAUAAUAAUAUUAUGAGGGUUUGAAAUUAGCUUUUAUUUCUCCUCUUUUCCAUGCAUCGAUCCUACUGAUGGAUUAGCUGGGAAUUGGCAGCAAGUGAACUGUGCAGUCCCUUUUUUCUUUCUGAGAAUCGUGCAUUUGUUAGCGUUUCAGUUGCAGGAGGAAACCACUUCCAUGGGUCAGGGCCCUGCAUCUCAGAAGCGACCUGGUAUUUCAGCUCCUCCAGCCAGAUCGUACCUACAGGGCUCCUUGCAAAGUUUCAGUAGUUCAAGACCUGGAAAGGAAACCCCCCUCUCUUCUCCUAGGCAUCAUCUUUACCCUCCUGACACUGUUUUCUCUGCAUGCAGAGCAAAGAUGCGAGGUGGAUCUAAUUUUUAGAGGCGAGAUGUCUCAUUUGUCAGAAGCUGAGUGAAUUAGAAUAAGAGCAUGCUUUUUUUUUUCCCCCUUAAAACAGGCCAAAGUUUUUAUCAAGAUGCCAUUUAUCAGCAGUGCUACCAGCCGCUAGCAGUAGGCAUGCUGCCAAUCAUUUUAUGGAAAUAGGCAAGGACUUUAAUGUUUGGAUGCCCAUCUGAAUCGACUCUUGUUCAUGUCAGCAGAUCUGAUGUGAAAGCAAAGGUGCCCCUAUACAGUCUAGUUACCAUCAAACCUGUAAGUGUCAGCAUUUUAAAGGCAAGGAACACAAUGCUGAUGGUGGGCAAUGUCACUGGUGUAACCUAUUUCAAAGACAUCAGCUCCUGCAGCCUUUUCCUGCUCCUUGUCUCUCAAGGAUUAGUUAUGCCCAAAGUCCACCUGCUCCGUUAGUCUCUGCAAAUAAUUAUCGGCCACCUGCAUAUCACCAUCCUCACAGGUUCAUCAUUGCCCCACUCCAGCUGGUUGCAAAGGCAGUAAGCAGCUCUCUGACUUGGCCUGGGGUUUCGGGUGGUCCUUUAAGCAGUAUCUUGAUACUCAGGGCUUGCAGUUGCUUGCAGCAGCUCUUGUUCUUAUUCUACAGCCAAGGUCUGUCUGGAGGAUGAUGCAAACUUGUAGGGGUAAAAAUGUGCCCACUGCUGAG
rnacentral:lncRNA from 1 species